AUUUAGAGGUAGAAGGCCCGGAGGCUCAGGAGCUGGUGGAGCUGUAACAUGUAAGUCACCCGGCUCAUCACGCGAAGGAAAGCUGCCCUCCAACCAGGAACACCUGCCUUGGAAUAUUAUGUGACCCCCAUCCACACCCCAGUCCCUUGAGGGUCCUUCCAAAGCUUCUGCUGUUGCUUCUUCUUGACUGAUGUCAACCAAGAUGACCAACCUGCUUGUUAUGGUGUUUUCUAACUGUGCAAGUAAGCUUAGCCACUGUGUUGAGCAACCUAAAAACUCCAGGAACGUAACAUCCUGGAGCAGCCCUCCAACAACGACAGUCGACAGUGGGUGGACAAACCUGGCAGCCUCCUCGCUCCUCAGUUAGAUUAGCUCUGGGACACAUUCUUCGUUCAUCUCCGAGUUCCCCUGAGGGACUGAGCUCCAGUUGUCCUGUCUGGUAAGCUGUCUGGAUGUAUUAGCUUCUCUCACAUCCUGUCUCACUUCUGCCCUCCCCUUCCCAUGUUUCCUAGAAUCUCUUCCCAAAUAAACUAC